GACGAACGCUGGCGGCGUGCCUAAUACAUGCAAGUCGAGCGCAGGAAACUGACGGAACUCUUCGGAGGGAAGGCAGUGGAAUGAGCGGCGGACGGGUGAGUAACACGUAAGGAACCUGCCUCAAGGAUUGGGAUAACUCCGAGAAAUCGGAGCUAAUACCGGAUAGUUCAACGGACCGCAUGGUCCGCUGAUGAAAGGCGCUCCGGCGUCACCUUGAGAUGGCCUUGCGGUGCAUUAGCUAGUUGGUGGGGUAACGGCCCACCAAGGCGACGAUGCAUCGCCGACCUGAGAGGAUGACCGGCCACACUGGGACUGAGAGACGGCACAGACUCCUACGGGAGGCAGCAGUAGGGAAUCUUCCACAAUGGACGGAAGUCUGAUGGAGCAACGCCGCGUGAGUGAUGAAGAUUUUCGGAUCGUAAAACUCUGUUGUAAGGGAAGAACACGUACGAGAGGGAAUGCUCGUACCUUGACGGUACCUUACGAGAAAGCCACGGCUAACUACGUGCCAGCCGCCGCCGUAAAAC
rnacentral:rRNA from 1 species